UACAGAGGUCCCGAGCGUUGUUCGGAUUCAUUGGGCGUAAAGGGUGCGUAGGCGGCUUUCUAAGUCUGAUGUGAAAUCCCGGGGCUCAACCCCGGAACUGCAUUGGAUACUGGGAAGCUAGAGUACUGGAGAGGAGACUGGAAUUUACGGUGUAGCAGUGAAAUGCGUAGAGAUCGUAAGGAAGGCCAGUGGCGAAGGCGAGUCUCUGGGCAACAACUGACGCUGAGGAGCGAAAGCGUGGGGAGCGAACAGG
rnacentral:rRNA from 1 species